UCCUCUCUGUCUCUCUGUGUCAGCCUAGCGCCAUUUUGGAGAAUACCUACAGAGAGGAGACGAAUUGUUGAAUAAAUGUCGUUCUUUGCGUACAAAAAGUAUUCUCGUUGCUUCAUAAAAUUCAGAUUGAACCACUGAUGGCAGAUGGACUAUUUUGGCUGUGUUUUUUUAUACAUUUCUGUGCCUUGACCGUGUAAUUUUCUUGGCAGUCAAUGGGACAGUCACAAACCUCCCGGUUUUCAUCCCAAAUAUCUUAAAUUGUGUUACGAGGACGAACAAAGCUUUUACGGGUUUGGAACGACAUGGGGGUAAGUGAUUAAUGACAAAAUUUUAAUUUUGGGGUGGCGUAUCCCUUUAAGAUGCAUAAAGGUAAGAUAAAAUUAACAUUGUAAAGAAACAAAACCAAAAAACAGCGUCUCCCGACUCUCCCAUAUUUCACUAAACCCAACAAACUUCGAAAGCUUAAAAAGUAAAAAUAUUUAAUGAAAUAGUAAAAAUUAAAAUUUUACAUACAAAUAGACUGUUUAGGUCUUUUUUUUCUUACUGUUGCCAGGCAAAAAAAAAAAAAGAAAGUUGCAUGCAUAUUUAUAGCUUUUUAAAUGAUGCUUCAAGCCACAAUUAGUUAUUUCACCCUUGAUAAUGAAGCUGUAUUGCUGUAAACCAAAUGUACAAAUUUCAUUAUCAAACUCAUGCAUUACGACUAUGAAACACUAAUAUGAGGUGCAUUACCUCUGACAGCUGCCAAACCAGAAAAUAUUACUGCAAACGAUCCCCUACAACCAAUAAGAUCAGAGAUAAUGGUUCAAAAUCCAUCACCAUGAAUUACAAAGUUAUUAGAGUCUCGUUAUGAUUUAAAAUAAUUAAAAAAUAUUGAUUAAAGAAAGAUUUCAGCUUGCUUGGUGACACUUAAAUAUUUGCAUGUUACCUUUUCACAAGUUGUAGGCUUGAGGGAAAGUUGAAUGGCCAAAGCUGAAGAUCCUCUCGACAGUGUGUCCUUCCUCUCUUUUAUAAAGCCACUAUCCAUCUAAAUAAGGGAGUUGGCACACUGCUAUGCCAAACUGCUAUUGUGUUUGGUUCAGCUGAGGUAGGGAGGGAUAAGCAUAGUUUUUCAUACACACCAGUCAUUCCACCACUGCCAACAACAUCCCAUAAUGGAAAAUAAUUACAGGGAGAAAAUUAAAAUCACCAAAGACAAUGCUUUCACCAUUAAGCCCUGUUUGUAUUCAAAAUAUGCUAAAAUCAUUUUUAAGCAUGAUUUUUUUCCCCUCACAGGCAAACUGAAUCUCACAGAAUUAUUAGCUUGUGUUGCAUCAUAAAUAUAUAUAUAUAUAUAUAUUUAUUUAUUUAUUUUAAAUAUAUACCUUUGUUUUUUUACCUUAAAGUAGCUUUGUAACUGGCUAAUAGAAGUCUAACGGAAUAAUCCGACAGGUAAGUAAUCCUAAUAAAGUAACAGUUGAGAUUCAACAAUUGUGUUUGAGUUUAUUUUCUCUUAAUGUAUCAACAUCAACAAAGCACUAUUUGCCAUGUCAAAAAGACAUUCAGAUUUCAUUCAUAUAACUUUUGACAUGUAUGCUACAAAAAGCGGGGGAAUGUAAAAAUCACCUCCAAAUUUGGCUAUUUAUGGAAUAAUUUUUCCAGGCACAUGCAACUACUAAGAACAACAGAAGUUUGAAAUGUCACAACUAUCUGUCCUACAAUGGGUUCAGAUGAGUUGAAGGUCAAUGAGCGACAGAUGAAACAAUUCUUUGCCUCAUUGGCACAGGAUCAUCUCCUCAUUUGUCCAGGGGUACAAAGAUAACCCAGUGAAAUUCCUGGAAAGUGACGCCCAUUGAUUGAGAAUCACAGGUUGGGCCGCAGACAGUAGCACUUCCAUUUAUGUAACGCUGUGGAACGUUUCACUGAAAGACAUAUAUAAACAAAGGAAGAGUGAUGGACCAGGUUUUACUGCUGUGGUGAAACUAAAGCAGUGAUGGCCUUGCUGUGGUAUCCUGUGCAUGUGUCCACCAUCACAAGACAAGCGAGACAUAUGAGGUAUCGUCUUUCUGUCGGGUCAAACGUUUGGUUGCCUGCCCAGUCCUGCUGCAUAUGUGCCCCUGUCAUGGUGUAAAUUAUCUUCGAGGUUAAACUAAUAAAACAGUUGGCUUUCUUAUUCUGGUCUAGUUCUCUUGUUGACCUUUUACUAUUGUCAUUUUGAUGAUUAUAGAAACAUUUGAAAUCACUAAUUAGGGAAGAAGUGUUUGUAUAAAGACUAUUAUUGUAACUCAAUGUUUGCCAACAGACAAGUAUGGUUUCAACCAGUGUGAUGACAAAGAGGAACUAUAAUUAGAUGCUCUGCCAAGUGAAGACAACUAGGCAGCAAAUGUCAGACGUUGAUAAGGUGCAAGUGUUCAACAAGUGAGAUCGUUUUCAUUGCGCAUACAUUCAUCACAUCUACAACCAAACCCUCAGGGACUGUUGAAAUCUCCAGGAAAGAAUCUCAUCAGGACGAUUGGUCGAUUGAUCUACAGGAUUUACAGUACGAGAGAGGACGUCAUAAUGAAUCAGGAGCUGCUGUCCAGAGAGUUUUUACAGUGAAUCACUGCCCUCGUCUCGUGAGCUCGCCUACAAAAACUGAAGAGCUAAAAAUACACAAACCUGCAAGAUACUGAUGGACCAGAGAAAGCAGCUCGUAGAACUGGUUUCAGGGAUCAUAGAUAGGUCACUUCCAUUAUCAGGUGCACCACUAAUAGUGACAUAUCAAGUACACAAACCAAAACCACACGAUCAAUAGCUGCCAUUCAUCACGGACUAACCCGU